rnacentral:rRNA from 1 species
UACGAAGGGGGCUAGCGUUGCUCGGAAUUACUGGGCGUAAAGCGCACGUAGGCGGACUCUCAAGUCGGUGGUGAAAUCCUGGAGCUCAACUCCAGAACUGCCUUCGAUACUGAGAGUCUUGAGUCCGAGAGAGGUGAGUGGAACUGCGAGUGUAGAGGUGAAAUUCGUAGAUAUUCGGAAGAACGCCAGUGGCGAAGGCAACUCACUGGACAUGUAUUGACGCUGAGGUGCGAAAGCGUGGGGAGCAAACAGG